rnacentral:rRNA from 1 species
GAUGAACGCUGGCGGCGUGCCUAAUACAUGCAAGUCGAGCGAACAGACGAGGAGCUUGCUCCUCUGACGUUAGCGGCGGACGGGUGAGUAACACGUGGAUAACCUACCUAUAAGACUGGGAUAACUUCGGGAAACCGGUGCUAAUACCGGAUAAUAUCUUGAACCGCAUGGUUCAAUAGUGAAAGACGGUUUUGCUGUCACUUAUAGAUGGAUCCGCGCCGCAUUAGCUAGUUGGUAAGGUAACGGCUUACCAAGGCGACGAUGCGUAGCCGACCUGAGAGGGUGAUCGGCCACACUGGAACUGAGACACGGCCCAGACUCCUACGGGAGGCAGCAGUAGGGAAUCUUCCGCAAUGGGCGAAAGCCUGACGGAGCAACGCCGCGUGAGUGAUGAAGGUCUUCGGAUCGUAAAACUCUGUUAUUAGGGAAGAACAACUGUGUAAGUAACUAUGCACGUCUUGACGGUACCUAAUCAGAAAGCCACGGCUAACUACGUG